rnacentral:rRNA from 1 species
GGAAUAUUGGGCAAUGGGCGCAAGCCUGACCCAGCGACGCCGCGUGAGUGAAGAAGUAUUUCGGUAUGUAAAGCUCUAUCAGCAGGGAAGAUAAUGACGGUACCUGACUAAGAAGCCCCGGCUAACUACGUGCCAGCAGCCGCGGUAAUACGUAGGGGGCAAGCGUUAUCCGGAUUUACUGGGUGUAAAGGGAGCGUAGGCGGCGUUGCAAGUCAGAUGUGAAACCCCGAGGCUUAACUUCGGGACUGCAUUUGAAACUGUGAUGCUAGAGUGCGGGAGAGGUAAGCGGAAUUCCUAGUGUAGCGGUGAAAUGCGUAGAUAUUAGGAAGAACACCGGUGGCGAAGGCGGCUUACUGGACCGUAACUGACGCUGAGGCUCGAAAGCGUGGGGAGCAAACA